CUUAGAGUUUGAUCCUGGCUCAGGAUGAACGCUAGCGGCGUGUUUAAGGCAUGCAAGUCGAACGAACUUUAUGUUUUGCACAAGGAAAUUUAAAUUUUAAAAUAUAAAAUUAAACCAAUUCAAUUGAUUUAAUUUUUUUAUUUUAAAAAAUUAUUUAGAUUUUCUCGCGCAAAAUAUAAGGUUAGUGGCAAACGGGUGAGUAACACAUUGGUAACAUACCCAAAAGAAAGGCAUAACUUCGAGAAAUCGAGGCUAAUUCCUUAUAAGGUGCGAUAAUAAUUUUAUCGCAUUAAAGAUUUAGAGCAAUCUAAAUUGCUUUUGGAGUGGCCUAUGGCUCAUUAGCCUGUUGGUAAGGUAAUGGCUUACCAAAGCUAUGAUGAGUAACGGGUGUGAGAGCAUGACCCGUCUCACUGGGACUGAGACACUGCCCAGACUCCUACGGGAGGCUGCAGUCAAGAAUAUUUCGCAAUGCCCGAAAGGGUGACGAAGCGACGCCGCGUGAUCGAUGAAGCCCCUCGGGGUGUAAAGAUCUUUUAUAGAGGAACAAGCUACCGUACCUCACUGUGUUUGGUACGGAAUUUUAAAUUUUAAAUUUUAAAUUUUAAAUUAAUUUUUAAUGACUUAAUUUUUAAACAAAACAAAAAAAUGUUUAGAAAUUUUGAAAUUAGAAAUUUAUUGGAAAUUGGAAAUUAAAAAUUGGAAAUUCCGCCCGAACGUAGCGAGGUGCGGUGGUUGAGGGUACUUUGUGAAUAAGUCACUGCUAAUCACGUGCCAGCAGCAGCGGUAAUACGUGAGUGACAAGCGUUAUCCGGAAUCAUUGGGCGUAAAGCGUCCGCAGACGUUUUAUUAGGUUUUUGGUUAAAUCUUGAUGCUUAACAUCAAAACCGCCAAAAAAACCAAUAGAAUAGAGGUUGGGAGAGGUAAGCGGAAUAGCCGGUGUAGUAGUUAAAUGCGUUAAUAUCGGCUAGAACACCAAUAGCGAAGGCAGCUUACUAGAACAAUUCUGACGUUCAAGGACUAAAGCGUGGGUAGCGAAUGGGAUUAGAUACCCCAGUAGUCCACGCCGUAAACGAUGGAUACUAGACAUUGGAAGUAUCGACCCUUUCAGUGUCGCUAUAUUUAAGAUAACUCCUUAAGUAUCCCGCCUGGAGAGUACGAUCGCAAGAUUAAAACUCAAAGGAAUUGACGGGGAUCCGCACAAGCGGUGGAGCAUGUGGUUUAAUUCGACGAUACGCGAAAAACCUUACCAAGGUUUGACAUCCCUCGAAUCCCGGAGAAACUCGGGAGUGCUUGCAAAAGAGCGAGGAGACAGGUGCUGCAUGGUUGUCGUCAGCUCGUGCCUUGAGGUGUACGGUUAAGUCCGGUAACGAGCGCAACCCUUAUAAUGUGUUAUAUUUUCACAUUAAACUGCCCCCGCCCAAGUUUUUGAUAUAUUUUUAUCAAAAAUUUAGGCGGGGGAGGAAGGUGGGGAUGACGUCAAAUCAGCAUGGCUCUUACGCCUUGGGCCACACACGUGCUACAAUGGCCAAUACAAAAAGUCGCAAUACCGUAAGGUGGAGCAAAUCUUAUAAAAUUGGCCUCAGUUCGGAUUGAGGGCUGAAAUUCGCCCUCAUGAAGUUGGAAUCGCUAGUAAAUGUUGGUCAGCAUACAACAUUGAAUACGUUCUCGGAUCUUGUACACACCGCCCGUCACGCCAAGAGAGUUGGCAAUAUUUGAACCCCGAUGUUAUGUCGGGGGAGAGUAAGGCCAAUAAUAAGGGUGAAGUCGUAACAAGGCAUCCGUAGCGGAAGCUGUGGAUGGAUCACCUCCUUUC
rnacentral:rRNA from 1 species